GAUGAACGCUGGCGGCGUGCCUAACACAUGCAAGUCGAGCGAUUUACUUCGGUAAAGAGCGGCGGACGGGUGAGUAACGCGUGGGUAACCUGCCCUGUACACACGGAUAACAUACCGAAAGGUAUGCUAAUACGAGAUAAUAUGCUUUUAUCGCAUGGUAGAAGCAUCAAAGCUUUUGCGGUACAGGAUGGACCCGCGUCUGAUUAGCUAGUUGGUAAGGUAACGGCUUACCAAGGCGACGAUCAGUAGCCGACCUGAGAGGGUGAUCGGCCACAUUGGAACUGAGACACGGUCCAAACUCCUACGGGAGGCAGCAGUGGGGAAUAUUGCACAAUGGGCGAAAGCCUGAUGCAGCAACGCCGCGUGAGCGAUGAAGGCCUUCGGGUCGUAAAGCUCUGUCCUCAAGGAAGAUAAUGACGGUACUUGAGGAGGAAGCCCCGGCUAACUACGUGCCAGCAGCCGCGGUAAGAGUCACGUCG
rnacentral:rRNA from 1 species